UGACCACCAUGGACUGGGUUCCUUCCUCCUCCCCGAGACUGCCCCUCCCCAGAAUAUUAGAGGCAGAGGAGUCCUGGUGAGCGUCUCGCCCAACCCCAUGGGGCAGCUGCCUGAGACAUGUCAUGAGGCAGCGCCAGAAGGGGGCUGGCACCCAGGGAUUCCUGGGGUGCUGGUGUGUGUCCUUUCAGGAGGUGGUAACAUUUGGCGAUGUGGCUGUGCACUUCUCUCGGGAGGAGUGGCAGUGUCUGGACCCUGGCCAGAGGGCCCUCUACAGGGAAGUGAUGCUGGAGAACCACAGCAGUGUGGCUGGACUAGCAGGAUUCCUGGUUUUCAAGCCUGAGCUGAUCUCUCGGCUGGAGCAGGGAGAAGAGCCAUGGGUCCUCGACCUGCAGGGAGCAGAGGGGACAGAGGCACCAAGGACCUCCAAGACAGGGGAAACAUACAAAUAACUGCCAUGGAGAGAAGCCGUACGAAUGUGCAGAGUGUGGGAAAGUCUUCAGGCUCUGCUCGCAGCUUAAUCAGCAUCAGAGAAUCCACACGGGAGAGAAACCCUUUAAAUGCACUGAGUGUGGAAAAGCCUUCCGCCUGAGCUCAAAACUUAUUCAGCAUCAAAGAAUCCACACUGGGGAGAAGCCCUACAGAUGUGAGGAAUGUGGAAAAGC
rnacentral:lncRNA from 1 species